rnacentral:rRNA from 1 species
AACGAACGCUGGCGGCGUGGAUAAGACAUGCAAGUCGAACGGGAUUAUUUCUGUAGCAAUACAGAAAUAAUUCAGUGGCGAACGGGUGCGUAACACGUGGGCAAUCUGCCGAAAAGUGGGGGAUAGCUCGCCGAAAGGCGAAUUAAUACCGCAUGUGGUGAGGGACGACAUCUUCCUGAAUCCAAAGCCGGGGCAACCUGGCGCUUUUUGAGGAGCCCGCGGCCUAUCAGCUAGUUGGUGAGGUAACGGCCCACCAAGGCUAUGACGGGUAGCUGGUCUGAGAGGACGACCAGUCACACUGGAACUGAGACACGGUCCAGACACCUACGGGUGCAGCAGUCGAGAAUUUUUCUCAAUGGGCGAAAGCCU